rnacentral:snRNA from 1 species
AAAUUAACCAAACACCUACACUGGAACACUGGAACGAUACAGAGAAGAUUAGCACGACCCCUGCACAAGGGUGACCCUAAAUCAUCUUCAU